UAACGCGAAGAACCUUACCAAGGCUUGACAUACACCGGAAACGACCAGAGAUGGUCGCCCCCUUGUGGUCGGUGUACAGGUGGUGCAUGGUUGUCGUCAGCUCGUGUCGUGAGAUGUUGGGUUAAGUCCCGCAACGAGCGCAACCCUCGUUCUAUGUUGCCAGCGCGUUAUGGCGGGGACUCAUAGGAGACUGCCGGGGUCAACUCGGAGGAAGGUGGGGAUGACGUCAAAUCAUCAUGCCCCUUAUGUCUUGGGCUUCACGCAUGCUACAAUGGCCGGUACAAAGGGCUGCGAUACCGUAAGGUGGAGCGAAUCCCAAAAAGCCGGUCUCAGUUCGGAUUGAGGUCUGCAACUCGACCUCAUGAAGUCGGAGUCGCUAGUAAUCGCAGAUCAGCA
rnacentral:rRNA from 1 species